AUGCAGCCCACCCAGUCCCACAGACUCGACCUGGCCCCAUGGGGCUCAGAACACCCGCUGGCCCUCUCUCGCCCACGUCCAGGGUAUGCUUCCCAGCUCACCUGCUCACUGUACAAGCCACACGGGGCGGAGAGAGGCAGCCCCAUCACAGAAACCUUAGCUCCUCUGGCCACCUCGCCUGCUGCUACGCAAUCACCGUGUCGGGGACAAGAAGCUGGGCUGCCUCGCCUGGACACACAGCCCCUGUCCUUUCCACCCGCGGGCCCCCAACUUCCCAACCUCAGCCAUCCCCGUGAGUCUCUGGUGUCUGGAUCCACGAAGGCCACAGCCCCUGCAGCCCUGCCGCAUGUGCCUGGACAGGACCGUGGGUGCUCGGGUUUCCUUAAAGGUAAGAUACGCAGAACAGAAGGUGAGGGAACUCACCGCAAACCCGAACACUCAGCGUCCGGGGCUGGGAUGGAUGAAGACGCAUCUCCCCCCUUUUUCCUGCCUCAGUACCUGGGUACGUGGACACCCCAACUCCCACUGUGUCCCUGCAAUUCUCCAGUGCUCAUGAACCUCCCCCUCCUGGCAAAACGGGGUCAGCUCUGGCAGACAAGGCGUCUGCACCUCCAGGAGGGCGCGCGGCCCCAGGAGGCAAAGCCACAGGGACCAAGAGGAUCAAAGGCCCUGCACAGGAAAGUAGGACACUUCUUCGGGUUGGGGCCAGCCUGGCCUGCCCCUCUCCCCCUGCAGCCGCUGCUGGGAACCCGCCCUCCCUACAGAUGGAGCCAGCAAGCAGGUGCUAGCGCGACCACCAAAGAGCUGCUUACGGCGGAAACUCCCUCAGAAACCUUGAAAUUAACUGCACGGGAGUUCAAGAUACACAGCCCACACCUGUGGCAAUGUGAAGGCUUUGAAACGGAGACCCUACCCCAGCUCAAGCAUGCAGGACCUGGCACAAAGGUUCUGGGGCGAGAGCCCACCCGGCCACCCCCGAUGGCCAGGAGGAAGGGCCUGUUGGCCUCGCAGCCACAUGAACUUCCGGCGCAGCAGGCCUGA
rnacentral:lncRNA from 1 species